AUACGGAGGGUGCAAGCGUUACUCGGAAUCACUGGGCGUAAAGCGCGCGCAGGCGGCUAUUUAAGUUGGAUGUGAAAGCCUACGGCUCAACCGUAGAACUGCAUCCAAAACUAUUUAGCUAGAGUGUGGGAGAGGAAGAUGGAAUUAGUUGUGUAGGGGUAAAAUCCGUAGAGAUAACUAGGAAUACCAAAAGCGAAGGCAAUCUUCUGGAACACUACUGACGCUGAGAUGCGAAAGCGUGGGGAGCAAACAGGAUUAGAAACCCUAGUAGUCC
rnacentral:rRNA from 1 species